rnacentral:rRNA from 1 species
GGGUCAGUAGGUUGGUCGUGCCACCGGUACGUACUGGUCUCACUGAUUCCUCCUCCCUGAAGAACCGUAAUGCCAUUAAUUUGGUGUUGCGGGGAAAUAGGACUGUUACUUCGAAAAAAUUAGAGUGUUUAAAGCAAGCUAACGCUUGAAUACAUUAGCAUGGAAUAAUGAAAUAGGACGAUCGAUCCUAUUUUGUUGGUUUCUAGGAUUGACGUA